GGCCAGGUAGCUCAGUUGGUAGAGCGCGGCCCUGAAAAGGCCGGCGUCGGCGGUUCAAGUCCGUCCCUGGCCACCA
rnacentral:tRNA from 4 species